AAAAAAAAAACAGAAAAGAAACAAAGUUGCUCGGAGAACAUCCCUUAAGAACACACACACGUACAUACCCUAUGAGUGGACUCUAUGUACAAAUGCAGAAAACUGCACAGCUUGUUAAAAACAGUCGAAGCUCAACCAGUGCCAAGACCAGCCAGAAGCUAGCAGCACCAAUACCUCGAGCGCUCCUACACCACACCGCCCGCCCAUUAGUAAGAGUCGUCGCUUACACUGGUCCGAUGAUAAGACCAUUGUCCAGCGCAACUAAUUGGAGAAGAAAUUUCUCGUUGGUAUAAGAAGUGGACAGCAAAAAAAAAAAAA